CCACAAAUCCAUAAUGGUCUCUGGGUUCCAUGAAGCCCCACUGUGUCACCAUGGCCCCUUGGUUCCAUGGGCUCCAGUGGUGCCACAAGGAUCCCCUUGGUUCCAUGAGGUCCCCACAAUGUCACAGUGAUCUCCAUGGGAAGGAAAGAACCCAGCCCCAGGGUUGCAGGGGCAGUCACCAGAGGCCAAGUGUCAUAGGUUGACCAGGAAGUGAGUUUUCUUGGGAAGUUUAGCCAAACUAAUCAGUGGUCAGAUUUUAAUAUUGACACGUGUUGUAACCUCUGAAGCCAUGGACACGCCUCUGAGAACACAGAGGGUUAAAAGCAAAGAACUCCCAGAGGAACUCUCUCUUUUGUUCCGAGACUGCAUUUAGAGAGAUGCAAUGGCUUGAGCCAAGAGAGUGACCUAUUGCAGUGAUUGCCAGUGCAGGAGUGAGAGUGACCUGCUGCAGUGACACCAUGUGAGGAGUGAGAGUGACCUGCUGCAGUGACACCAUGUGAGGAGUGAGAGUGACCUGCUGCAGUGACACCAUGUGCAGGAGUGAAGUGAACGGAGAAAGAUGAGGAGGGUAUGGUGGUGCCCUCUGUCUUCAGGAAAGAAGAAGAUCUCUGUUCUCAAGACCCUCGGUCCCAGGGGAGGUGAAAACGGGGGGGACUGUUGUCCCAAAAUAAGAAAAACUGUCAUUCUUUGGUACUUGGGAAAGCAUCAUUAAAAGGAACCCUCAAAGCA